AUGGAAAAAAGCAGAGGAAGAGAUGCCCUACCUGCCAAUAGCUAUACAGAUCAACAAAUACUGUGCUGGAACUUGGGUACAAAACUAUGCAUGUGCCGAAUUUGCAAGGUGUCACGAGGAAAUUCAAAUCAUCAAGCAUUGCAAGUCAAGGAAUCAUCAACUUUACACGGUGCAGUAACUGCGAAGCAAAUUACGAAACAAAGACAACAAAAUGAAUUAGCAAGAACAGCCCGGAUCAAUAACACUGAAAAAAGCAAAGACAGUAAUUCCAGUGGUAGUAAGAUAUGGAACUUUGAAGGGGCAUCAGCUAUACAGAAUCAACAAAUAAUGGACUUGAGAUUUCAAAAUUUAUGUACUAGCCAAUAUUGCCAUGCGGUAAGGGCAAAUUCAAAUUAUCAACCAGCACAAGUCACAGAAUCAUCAGUUGUAGACAGUGCAAUGAUGGCUGAGCAGAUGAUGAAACGGAGACGCCAGGACGAAUUAACGAGAACAGCACGAAUGAAGAGGAAAGCACAAAUUCAACUCAACAAGAGCAGAAGGCAUGCUAGAACCAAUAACGGUGAAAUGGACAAGGAUGAUAAUUCUAAUGCCAGUAAGAUAUGGAACUUUGGGGGGCCAACAUACAUCUGCCAACACUGCCAUGCACUUAUGUGGUAUGCAGAAAGAAUACAAUCUUCCAGAACAAGACAACCAUCCUUUGCACAAUGCUGCAAACAAGGGAAGAUUAUCUUGCCACCAUUUAAAGAACCGCCGCCUUACCUUACAAGUUUAUUAACAAGGGGUGGAGGAAAAAUAUCAGCAAACUACCGAAAGAACAUUAGGUCUUACAAUUCCAUGUUUGCGUUCACAUCAAUGGGGGGGGGGGACUUUGGAUAA
rnacentral:rRNA from 1 species